rnacentral:misc_RNA from 1 species
AACGCACCUUGCGCUCCUUGGUAUUCCGAGGAGCAUGCCUGUUUGAGUCUCGUGGAAUUCUCAACCUUCAACUUUAUUGAUGAAGGCUUGGACUUGGAGGUUGUGCCGGCUCUUGUAGUCGGCUCCUCUGAAAUGCAUUAGUGCGAACGUUACCAGCCGCUUCAGCGUGAUAAUUAUCUGCGUUGCUGUGGAGGGUAUUCUAGUGUUCACGCUUCUAACCGUCUUCGGACAAAUUUCUGAACUCUGAGCUCAAAUCAGGUAGGACUACCCGCUGAACUUAA